UGUGUCCAUGUUAUAUAAAUACCAUCCUACUCCGUCACACGUAAUUCAAUAUGAAGAGAUUCCUAUUGAUGAAGAAGAUAUAUCAUAUUAGGAAAUGCUUAUAAACAUAUUGGAUAAACAAGAGCGAGCAUUGAACACCACCAGAAACCUUUCCCAAGUGAUAGGAACAGGUAAAAUAGUUUGUUUGAAUUUCCACCAACGAUCAUCUUCACCUACAAGUUGGUAUGUAGUCAGGAUCACCUUAUGCUUAGAAGUCACCCCUAAAACUUGGAAUGUCUUUUCAACUGUUUUCA
rnacentral:lncRNA from 1 species